rnacentral:rRNA from 1 species
AGCGAACGUUGGCGGCGCGCCUAACACAUGCAAGUCGAACGCGAAAAGCCUUCGGGCUGAGUAGAGUGGCGCACGGGUGAGUAACACGUGAGUAAUCUACCCUGAGGAUCGGGAUAACACUCCGAAAGGAGUGCUAAUACCGAAUAAGACCACAGCCCCUGCGGGGGCAGUGAGAAAACGAUGGGGAUCCGAAAGGACCUAUCACCACGGGAUGAGCUCGCGGCCUAUCAGCUAGUUGGUGAGGUAAUGGCUCACCAAGGCUAAGACGGGUAGCUGGUCUGAGAGGAUGAUCAGCCACACUGGAACUGAGACACGGUCCAGACUCCUACGGGAGGCAGCAGGUGGGUAAUUUUUGCGCAAUGGGCGAAAGCCUGACGCAGCGACGCCGCGUGUGCGAUGAAGG